ensembl:lncRNA
GUGCCGGCCGGCGCUGGAGCGGGCAGGCUGCUCAAAGUUUCUAGUGCCAUUCCUGGACCGAAACAAAUGUUUGUGGAAUUAAGUAGUGAUUUCCUUUAGUCUGCGCGACUCUUACUGGCUGUGUUUCCAGGCUCUAGAUGUUACCAUAUGCCAUAUAUUGCUUUCUCGGGGAGAAAUCGAGGGUUUCAAAGCACACUUAACCCAUCCUAACUGCUCACGUCAACUAGUCAAGGUCUGCAUUUUCUGAUAAAAAUAACCCGUAAAACUUCCAUAUUAAGAGCUAGAAUGGUUUGGAAGACAAAGAAAUGCUGAAAAAUGAUUUAUUUUCCAGGAGUGCAUUAUUUUUCUAUAUGCAAAGCAAGGAAGAAGAUUUGGAAGUUGACAUCCCAAACUGGUUAACAGUGACUGCUUUUGUGGAGGGAGACCUCAGUGUUUCUAUCAUGGACUUUCAACUGAUCAGGUGAGGAUAGUUCCUAUAUAGAGAGACACGGAUUGGACUUUCUCCAGUUUCUGAAUAAGAAGAGUCAGGCUCACUGCAGGGAAGAAGAAAAUGGGCUCAAGCAGGCUUGAUUGGAAGAAAGUGAGACAUUGUUUGAAGUGAGGAUUCCCUGUGCAGUGAAAGUGAUGUGGACUUGUCAUGAGAAACCUGCUUCUCAACGCUGGCUGUGUUUGCCUACAUCCUUUGCAUCCACACGUGAUCAUGAAAUUUCACCAACAGAAUAGGACCAGAGGAAGGGGCACCUUCCAGAACAACUGUGGCCAGUGCCCCAUCCCCACGGUGAUCCACUGCCAACCCAUGCUCCACAGGAGACCCUCUAACACUAGCAAGUGUAGUUGCGUUUUUACCUUGUCUCCCCCAUAAAAGGACACUAAAAAGAAUUGCCCGAGAAAGAGGAAAGCACAGGAAGGAAAUGGAAAAUGACGAUGCUGGAUGUAGUUCAGCUCCGUUCAUUUCAGUUCAGUCACUCAGUCGUGUCCGACUCUUUGCGACCCCAUGAAUCGCAGCACACCAGGCCUCCCUGUCCAUCACCAACUACCGGAGCCCACCCAAACCCAUGUCCACUGAGUUGGUGAUGUCAUCCAGCCAUCUCAUCCUCUGUCGUCCCCUUCUCCUCCUGCCCCCAAUCCCUCCCAGCAUCAAAGUCUUUUCCAAUGAGUCAACUCUUCACAUGAGGUGGCCAAAGUACUGGAGUUCCAGCUUCAGCAUCAUUCUUUCCAAAGAAAACCCAGGGCUGAUCUCCUUCAGAAUGGACUGGUUGGAUCUUCUUGCAGUCCAAGAGACUCUCAAGAGUCUUCUCCAUGUAGUUAGAAGAGAGCUAAUCAAGCAUAUGACAACACUGCCACCAUGCCUGGGACUAUACACAUGCCACCAGAGGGACUGAGUGCAAGAGAGCUCAACAACAUGAUGGGAGGCAGGCUGAAGAUGUCUCCAGGAGGUGACAUGGGGCAAAGCUUCUGUGUUCAAGGAAGUAUGGGAGAGAUUUUUCAGACGUUGAAAGUACAAAGUGUAAAAUGUUCAUCUUAACCUAGAAGGUAUGUGUAUUCAUCAAGUUAUACAAAAAGUUAUCAUGCAAAGAAGGCAAGCACUGUUUAAAUUACUGUUGAUAUGAUUUUAGAAAUUAAUAAAAUGAUUUCAUUGCCAAAAAGAAAGAAUAGGGCCAGAAGCCCUGAGUGACGCUUUCAGACUGACAAACUGGAGAAGCCAGAGUGCCGGCACCAUUCCCCUUUUCCCUUCCGCCAAUUUUCUGCAGAAGAGGGCAGUCACCUAGACGCCACAUCAGGGAUGGCAAAGCCACAAUGUGGAAGGAGCCUGGGUCCUUGAGUCACCACUCGAAGGUGAGCUAACUACCAGUUAGGAAGAUCCAUUCUGCACGUUAGGCGAGCGAGAAAUUAACUUCAAUUUUGUUGAAGCUGUUACACUUGGAAAUUGUUUAUAGCAGCUAUUAUCCAAGUAGAGUGACAUUCAGCCCUAGAGAUUGAGUUUAGCGUGUGUGUGUGUUCAUGCAUGUGUGUGUGUGUGCUCUGUCAUGUACAACUGUUUGUGACCCCAUGGGCCCACCAGAUUCCUCUGUCCAUGGAAUUCUCCAGGCAAGAAUACUGGAGUUUGUCAUGUCCUACUCCAGGGAAUCUUCCUGACCAGGGAUCAAGUCCCAGUCUCUUCUUCACCACUACUGCCACCUGAGAAGCCCAGUAGGGUGACAUUUGACCCCAGGAUUGGGUUUAGUAUAUUUUUUAGGGUUAUUAAUAUAAGGAAAUAUGUUGCUGCUAUCCCUACUAUGCCCAUUGGGAAAACUUGUUCAUUGAUU